CUAUCCUGUGUUUGAAGAUACCCUAAACUUAACAUAACUUAACAAAACCCCAGACAGUUACUAUAGGUCUUGACUCAGAAAAUUCAUACAUGGUUCCUUACUAAUGAGACUUUCCAUACAACAAAGUGAGGUCAUUCUUUGUUGAUUUAUACCAUAAGGUGCUAGCUAUCCUGUGUUUGAAGAUACCCUAAACUUAACAUAACUUAACCUAACAAAACCCCAAACAGUUACUAUAGGUCUUGACUCAGAAAAUUCAUACAUGGUUCCUUACUAAUGAGACUUUCCAUACAACAAAGUGAGGUCAUUCUUUGUUGAUUUAUACCAUAAGGUGCUAGCUAUCCUGUGUUUGAAGAUACCCUAAACUUAACAUAACAAAACCCCAAACAGUUACUAUAGGUCUUGACUCAGAAAAUUCAUACAUGGUUCCUUACUAAUGAGACUUUCCAUACAACAAAGUGAGGUCAUUCUCUGUUGAUUUAUACCAUGAUGUGCUGGCUAUCCUGUGUUUGAAGAUACCCUAAACUUAACCUAACCUAACCUAACAAAACCCCAAACAGUUACUCUUGGUCUUGACUCGGAAAAUUCAUAUAUGCUUCCCUACUUAUGAGACUUUCCAUACAACAAAGUGAGGUCAUUCUUUGUUGAUUUAUCCUAUAUGGGGCUGGCUAUCCUGUGUUUGAAGAUACCCUAAACUUAACAAAACAAAACCCCAAACAGUUACUAUAGGUCUUGACUCAGAAAAUUCAUACAUGGUUCCUUACUAAUGAGACUUUCCAUACAACAAAGUGAGGUCAUUCUCUGUUGAUUUAUACCAUGAGGUGCUGGCUAUCCUGUGUUUGAAGAUACCCUAAACUUAACCUAA